rnacentral:lncRNA from 1 species
CUGGAAAUCGCCUAUGUGCAAAGCAUCUCCUUUGUCACCUAUUUUCUUAUUUGAAUCUUAAAUCUAAAGCAAAGAAUUUAUAGUUGGAGAAUAACAGCAGUUGACAGCCCAGUUGUAGAUAGGCACAGUAUCAGAAAGGUUUUCUGAAAAUAUUGCUUAUCAGGUUCUGGGAUCAAUUUUUAUUUUUCUGAAAUCUGACUUAAAAAAUGGUUGCAGAUGCUCACUUUAAAGACUAACAUUGUUAAAGACAUUGUUUAAAGAGCAGUUAAUGUUACUCUGUAGUUUCAGCCAUUAAAAGUUAUCAUAAUACAAAAUCCUUUUUUUCCCCCUAUGACACCUCCCUUUAUGGCAGUUAUUACAAUACUCUCAUGAGCCUCUCUUGGUCUAAUUCCAAAUCCGCACGCAAUUCUACUCCCCUUAUUACACUUUGAAUCAGAUUUUGGAAGCCCAGAGGGCAAAACCAAAAACUACGUUAACUAUUCCAGACAGAUGGCUCUGGACAGGAAUUUCCAUUGAGAUGUGGCUCAUGAAACAACAGUGGAUACCUGUUGAGAGUACCAUGGAGGAAAGCACAGGGUGAAAUCCCAAGGUGUGAACUCUGUGAUUACUUCCCAGAGCAGAAGACAAGAAAAGUAUUUGCAUCCACAGAGGCUCUAUCUAGCUUACAAUGCUGAGUGCUGUACAGUGCAGCUGUUACUGCAUUAAUCCUUCUGGUGUUUCUCACAACAAAGAAAAGACCUGGGUCUUAUUCUCUUAUUGUAUAGUAAAACAAAGCAGAUUACAGGAAAAGUGCACAGAUCUCUCAGCCACUUCCAACUUCUCACACUAGGAUAUCCUCCUGCCCCUAUCUAUCUAUUUUGACAAAAAUAAGAUCCCAUCUACUCUGAGAAAGCUUUGGAGGCUUAUGUAAACUCAGGCUACUUCUAAGGGAUGAAAUUCAGACUAAUGGAUUCCUCCCCCUUUUUAAAAUUUUUUUUAAUACAGUCAUAUCUGUUUUAUCCUUUGGCAGGAUUUUUGCUGUUACCCAUUACUGUGUGCUUUACGAUGUACUAAAAAUGAUACAGUGCCAUGUCAACACAGAAUAAAGUUAAACAUACUACAUGUAGCCAACCACUGCUUUGCAAACCAUGGACUGCUCUCAGUCAUGCCACCUGUCAAGCAUCAAACCUGAGUAUGGACGUCAGCUGCAAGCCUUCAUUUACCUGCCAUGUGAUUUGAACUUUUAAACCACGUGGUAGGUAAGGAAAGAAGAGAGGAAGCAUAGAGUGACUAAAUGCGAACAUUAACACUAUAGUAAUCUUUUUAGCCUUUUGCAGUAAAUUGUCCCAUGGUUGAUAUAGACAGUUUUAAAAUUACUUCCUCUUAAUGUUAUAUAUGGAUCUUAAGGGUUAAAUAUCACCCAUGGACUUGUGUCUCCAUUACUGGGCUGGUAUUAUGCCUGGAGCAAUAUUCAUUCAACAGAUACUUAUUGAGCACGUACUUUGUGGCAGGCAUUGUUCUAGGUGUUUAUCCUAAGGGAAUAUAUACUCAAGAGCCUGAAAGAGUUCUGACUGUGGCUCUGCCAUUAACUAGUUCCUUUUUGGAUUUUUAUUUUUAUUUUUUGAAAUUUACUUAAUCUUUCUGUGGCUUAGCUUCUUCAUCUGUAAAAUAUGAAUAAUAAUAGUACCUCACAGGUUUGUCAUAAUAGUUAAAUGAGUUGAGACAAGGUGAGGGAAGAGCACACUAUUAUAACACUGCCUGGGACAUAAUCGGUGCUCAUUAAGUUCAGCUGCUAUCUUUAAUGGUCAUUCUUAUGAGAAAAAUAAAGGGCCACACCUGUGUAGCACUGGUAUGCUUGCAGAGGCCUACAGUCACAUUUGUCAUUUUUAUAAUGGGCCACCUCAGUGUCUGAAAUCUCUACUAUUAUUAUAAUAGUUAUUUCUUUGGUUUAAGAAAACAGUUCUGUUAUCCACCAAGGUUAACACAUGAACAACUCUUGAUAGCAAAACAUACACUAAUUAUUAGGAUUAUCCCCAGAAGAAACAGGUCUCUAAGGGUGUGGGACAGGGUGCGAUGUUGUUUUUAUGAGAGUAAGACGUUUAAGAGUGGAGAGGAGGAAACACAUCACGGUUCAUUGUCACAGUAGAGAUUGUGGUCAUCCUAAGAGUAACACAAGGUCCUGCAUUCCUGGCUAGGGAUGACUGAAGAGUGGGUGAAGACACCCUGAAAAGAAGACUGUCAGGUUUACCCAAGACUGUCUUUGGUCUUAUGCUAUAUCUUUCUGGUGUUACAAUAUGAACAUGGAGAAUAAGAUUUACAAGAGAAAAUAUAUAUAGCAGUUUCAAGCAUAUGCAGACUGCCUGGGUUCCAACCUGAAUUUACCACUUAUUAGUAUAACCUUGAGCAAUGCCUUAACUUCCCUUUGACAUUUGUAAAACAAACAUAAUGAUAGAAUUUUAUGGGGAUGCUGAAAGGAAUCUAAUUACAUUAGAUAAUGUCUAAAAACAAUGUCUGACAGUUAGCAAAAGCUCAGUAAAUAUUAGCCUCUGUCAUUGUUAUUGUAGUUUGCUAUUAUUGGAGCUGCUUUAAUUAUUUAGUUUCUUCUUUUCCUGAGUCCCACUUAAUUUUGCUUGCCUUCUAUGAGCCUUUGGCUGAAUUUGAAAUUCAAAAGUUCCAAAUCUUUUUGAUCCCUAUUUUAUUAUAGUCUCGGUAUUCUACCAAUGAUCUCAAUUGUAAAAUGACAUUGCCAAUAUAAUCGUUGUUGAACUAAUAAAUCUGAAAGCAAGGUUUCUAUUAUUUUGGUUCUAUAUCUAGUUGAAAUUCUAUCACUAAAAUUUGCAUAAAUCACUUAAUCUCCUUGUGUUUUAGUUGCCUAUCUGCAAAAUUAAAAAUAUUGGGGCAAAUGUAGUUUCAUUUGCAAAUUAUAUAUAGCAUUUGAGAAUUGCCCCUCAAGUUUUCUGAAAUUCAGAUUCUCUAAGUUGAGGUGAUGAUUAACCUAGUCAGAUUUUAUUUGAUAAGAGUUAAGAAUAGGCAUCUCCAUUUGUAUUAGUCUGUUUUCGCAUUGCUAAAAAGAAAUACCUGAGACUGGGCAAUUUAUAAAGAAAAGAGGUUUAACUGGCUCAUGGUUCUGCAGGCUAUACAGGAAGCAUGAUGCUGGGGAGGUCUCAGGCAACUUACAAUCAUGGCAGAAGGCAAACGGGGAGCCAGCACUUCACAUGACUGGAGCAGGAGGAAGAGAAUUGGGAGGUGCCACAUAUUUUUAAACAAUCAGAUCUCACGAGAACUCACUACUGUGACCACAGCAUCAAGGGGUGAUGGUUUUAACCAUGAGAAACCGCCCCCAUGAUCCAAUCACCUCCCACCAGGCCCCAUCUCCAACAUUGGGGAUUACAGUUCACCAUGAGAUUUGGGCAGGUAACACAAAUCUAAACCAUAUCACCAUUCAAGUUUUUAAUCUUCAUAAAUGCCAAGGUUUUAAAAGACUGCCGGGUAGUCCUAAAUUGCUCCACUGAGCAGAUAAGCAAUUACUAUGAGUAGCGUCAUUUUAAAUACAUGCAAAACUAUUGGUAUAGUGACAAUAAAGCAUUAACUAAGAUUACCAUAACUGGAGAUUUAGGAAAAUUUCAUCUGAGUUGCAUUGUUCUCUUUUCACAAUGUAUAAAUUGCUUAAAUUGGGUGAUAGUUUAGUUUAACUUUAUUACUAAGCAUUAACCUCAAGGAUUGAAGCUCAGAUUGUGGAAUUUCACCUGCUAUCCAGUGAGCAGAGAGGGUAUUCUUUGGACAUAGGGACCUUUUAAGUAGCCUUAAAACUAUAGUAAUCAGGGUGAUGCAUUUCCUCAAAGGCUUGCCCAGUUUAUGUCAUCCAAGCAUGCCACUCUCUACACAGCACACUUAAAACUUUUUAGAACAGAAAUUGCCGAUGUGUUUUAGCUCACUUGCCAGUGCUUGUUGAUUGUCAGUAAUUACAUGAAUCUCUCUUGAAAACAGUUCUGGGAGCGGGGAGGGAUAGCAUUUGGAGAUAUACCUAAUGUUAAAUGACGAGUUACUGGGUGCAGCACACCAACAUGGCACAUGUAUACAUAUGUAACUAACCUGCACGUUGUGCACGUGUACCCUAAAACUUAAAGUAUAAUUUAAAAAAAAAGAAAACAGUUCUGACACCAAGUUAUAAAUUAGCAGAUGAGAAUGUGUGAUUGAUUAACAGUGUAUGAAGGAAAGGGACCAUCAGCAUUUAUUUGUGUUAAGUUUUUUUAUCCUAAUCCUAAACUUCAAAUUCUUUAAGGGCACAAACUAUGUCUUACUCAUUUUGGUAUCAUGAGUGCCUAGCUUGGACCACUGUGUAUGUAGCUCUUAAUAAAUGUUUGUUAAAAUUAACUAAUUCAUAUUCUU